rnacentral:lncRNA from 1 species
CAGUGGAAAAUAGCUAGUAGCCACUGCACGCCUACAGCCAGGGAGAUGUUCUUCUAGUCUGAAUCCACACACCCAGGCAGCCCAAAGAGAUCCUGAGGCCAAGUGAACUUUGACUUGCAAAAGAACUUGAGUCCCCACAGUGGCUGCCCUAGCGCCAGGCCCAUCCUGCCCCACUGCCCCAUGCCCAGAGGACUUGACACCACUUCCUCGUCCAUGUUCCAAGAGACAGAGAUCUUCUGAGGCCCCGUCUAGCUUCUGCUCACAUUUGCCUUCAUUCUAGAGGCCUCGUGGAAAGGUUUCUACAUCAAAGUUGGCUCCUGAGAGCAGAGAAUCUGCCUGGCAAAGCCAGGGUCCUGGCCCGCAUUCAGUAGGCUCCAGUUCAAGUUCUCCCAAUGGCUCACUGCUAUGAGGGGCAACAGGAGCCACUUUCUCCAGAGACUCCCUCCUGGUUCUCCACGCUCCGAACAGCCUAGAAAAGGACAUGCACAGCAAACGUGCCAAACAUCAGGACAAACAGAUUCCUCCCAGUGCUGUCCCUGCAGGAGUUGACAUCUGUUUCCCUACUGUCUGCCCAUGUUGCAAUGCCUGCCCACCUCCCUUGGCAACAGACCUCACCUGCCCUGAUGGACUGGUUGGCACCAGCUCUUCAUCUGGAAUGGUCACCACAGUCCCUCUCUGAUCUCAAGCAGAGACGCCAGUAAUCAGCCACGAAGAAUCAGGUGGGGCUGUGUUACACGGCCCCGCCAGCAGGUGGAGCCGUCUCCACCCCCGUGUCCACGGAGCCUUCCAUAUCUGCUCAGCAGGUGCUAGACGGCAUCUUGCGGGGCGGGUAGAGGGCACCCCAUCCAAAAUCACUCCAAACAACCAGGACCCUUCUCUGUCACCCCUAUGCGCUACCAUGUCAGUCCAGUUCCUGGUGGCUGGUCCUCCCGUGCACCCUUCCGGUCUUAGGCAACUGCUUGUAAUUGAACUUCCUUUACAUAAAUUUGAUUAUCUACCCGGAAUCUAGCCCGGUUUUGCCCUGCUCUCUCCCAACUUCACAUUCAUUUAUUUAUUAAGCUUCACAGCUUCCUGGGAUACACUGAGCCUUGUGCCAGCAUCCAGAGGCACUGCAGACACCUUUCCCUGGGGGGGGCCUCCCAGCUGGGUGGGGAACACAGGACCACCGGCUGCCACACGAUAGUGCAUGUGAGGGUCUCUGUCAUCACUGCUUUACUGAUACAGCUCUUGGUGGA